AUUGAACGCUGGCGGCAGGCCUAACACAUGCAAGUCGAACGGAGUGGCGGACGGGUGAGUAAUGUAUGGGAAACUGCCUGAUGGAGGGGGAUAACGUCUGGAAACGGUAGCUAAUACCGCAUACUAUCAGAUGAGCCUAUGUCGGAUUAGCUAGUUGGUGGGGUAAAGGCUUACCAAGGCGACGAUCCGUAGCUGGUCUGAGAGGAUGAUCAGCCACACUGGAACUGAGACACGGUCCAGACUCCUACGGGAGGCAGCAGUGGGGAAUAUUGGACAAUGGGCGAAAGCCUGAUCCAGCCAUGCCGCGUGUAUGAAGAAGGUCUUCGGAUUGUAAAGUACUUUAAGUUGGGAGGCGUUACCGACAGAAGAAGCACCGGCUAACUUCGUGCCAGCCGCCGCGGUAAUUC
rnacentral:rRNA from 1 species